AGAAUCAACGCUGGCGGCGUGCCUAACACAUGCAAGUCGAACGAGAAAGUGGAGCAAUCCAUGAGUAAAGUGGCGCACGGGUGAGUAACACGUGACUAACCUACCCUUGAGUGGGGGAUAACCUCGGGAAACCGGGGCUAAUACCGCAUAAUAUCGAGAGAUCAAAGGAGCAAUUCGCUUAAGGAGGGGGUCGCGGCUGAUUAGCUAGUUGGUGAGGUAAUGGCUCACCAAGGCUAUGAUCAGUA
rnacentral:rRNA from 1 species